UACGUAGGGAGCAAGCGUUGUCCGGAAUUACUGGGCGUAAAGGGCGCGUAGGCGGGAUAUUAAGUUAGGUGUGAAAACUCCGGGCUCAACUUGGAGACUGCACUUAAAACUGGUAUUCUUGAGGACAGGAGAGGAAAGUGGAAUUCCUAGUGUAGCGGUGAAAUGCGUAGAUAUUAGGAGGAACACCAGUGGCGAAGGCGACUUUCUGGACUGUAACUGACGCUGAGGCGCGAAAGCGUGGGUAGUGAACGGGAUUAGAUACCCCGGUAAUCCACGCUGUAAACGAUGGGUACUAGGUGUAGGAGGUAUCGACCCCUUCUGUGCCGGAGUUAACGCAAUAAGUACCCCGCCUGGGGAGUACGGCCGCAAGGUUGAA
rnacentral:rRNA from 1 species